GACCUCUCCAGUGGCCUAGUAGUAAGAGUGUCUGCCUCGGAAGCAGUAGGUUGUGGGUUUGAUCUCCGGCUGUGUCA